UGAGCGACGGUUUCGUUUCUCUCUACGAAAACCAAACGCUCUAUCUUAACGUGUCUCUCUCUCUCGCUUUUUCAGUUUCCUUCUUCUUUCCCCCUCCUUAUUUGCUUAAGCUCUGUUUGUUUCUUGCGAAAAACUCAUCACUUGUUAAACUACCGUCUCUUUAUCUUUGACGGGUUGGUGUUGGUAUUGGUAUCUUAGUUCAGUGUAUUCACACACAUAUAAGUGCUAGAAAUAAAGAGGUUUAAGGAAGGGUGAGAAAUGGAGGAAAAGAAGGUGGGCUCGUCUUCCUCUUUCACUUCUGAGCUCUUUGGCUCCAAGGAUUCUACAUCUUCUACUGGGAUUUUUGGCUCUAUAUUUGCUCCUCCUUCUAAGGUGUUGGGGAGAGGGUUGCUGCGAUCUGAAGUGUUGGGAAAGAAGCAAGAUUAUGCAAAUGAAGCUUGGAACAUCAAACCUGGAACUCCAGAUGAAAUUUCUAAAAGCAAUCAGGGUGAAGGUCAGAACGUGCCAAGUAGAGAUACAAAUUCCUUUUAUCAGGAACAAAGAGUACAGCCAUGUCCUCUCAGUUCAUCAAUCUAUUAUGGUGGUCAGGACAUUUAUCAUCAUCCCCAGAAUAGCCAGAGCUCUAAUAAGACCUCAAUGGUCAAGAAAGAUGGGACAGAAGAUGACUCUGGGAGUGCUUCUAGAGGAAACUGGUGGCAGGGGUCUCUCUAUUACUAAGAUUUCACCUGCCAUGACAUACUUACCUAGGUAUUUGUUUCUUGGAGACUUUCAAUAAGGUUUUGACACUUCCUUUUUCUUUUUAUCUAUGCCCAAGGUUAGGAGCCUUUUCUUAUAUAUGGAAGAUGUGGAGUAGCAGGCAGAUCACAGCAGAUGGCGGGUUGUUUCUUCAGCCAAAGUCAUGCUAGCAUGAAAAAUUAGCUUGCCUGCUUUUUGUAAAUAUAUAAGAUGUUUGGUUUAGGACCUUAUAAGUAUGGAUAAAUAAUAUGCACUCCCUUUUCUCUA